rnacentral:ncRNA from 1 species
AGAUCUCAACAUAAAGUUAGAUAUAAAGGUAAUUUAGUAAAUGCCUAUUCUUCUAUUAAAGGUUAUCCUUCAUCUGUAAUAAGAGGAAAUUAUAAACCUAAUUUACAAUAUACUAAAUUAAAUUCUAAAUCUCGUAUUGGAUCUUUUGGAGUUAAAGGUUGAGUAAGUGGUACUUAAUUAACUUUUUUAAUCAUUCCUCCUCCUAUAAAAUAGUUAAUAAAGAUGAUGAAAUAGUCUGAACCAUUUUGAGAAAAGUGGAAAUAAAAGGAAAAACCUUUUAUGAUAACAUAAAUUGAACAGGCUAAUUUGCGCAAGAGAGUACAAAUUGAGUGCGCGGUUUGGCACCUCGAUGUCGGCUUAGCUCAUCCACAUGAAUGCAAAAAUCAUGAAGGGUUCGACUGUUCGUCGAUUAAAGAGCUACAUGAGCUGGGUUUAAUACGUCGUGAGACAGUAUGGUUUCUAUCUUCUAGAGGGAAUUAAAGUAUAAUAAAGAUAGCCCCUUCGUACGAAAGGAGUUGGGUAUAUUGACCUAUGGUUUACCUGUUGUUUAUGCUAUAUAUUAUAUAUUAUAUACUAUAUAAUAUAUCGUUUACUUAUACUUAAGUAAAUUGUUCACAUAGGCAUGGCAGGAAGGCUACGUCAGUUAAAGAUAAGUGCUGAAAGCAUUUAAGCGCGAAGCUUACUUUAGGAUACUUUUAAACGUAGUAGAACACUACGAGUAUAAUUGUUAUAACCCUUCGGAUAUAACGAUUAAUAGGCUUUAGUUGUAUUAAUUUUAAUAUUUUUAGACAUAAAGUACUAAUUAUUAAAAUACUAAAUAUU